GAUCAACAAACUGCCUUUGGAUGCUAGACCAUUACUGGCAGCUCUUCAGCUAGCAGUCCCUCACAUGGGAAGCUACAUGUUGAAGGUCAUGGAUUAAGCUUGGAGGAUCAUCUUAACUAGCAUUGGAGUUUAACUUCAGUUCGAUGUGUG